GUAGGAGCCGGCUUGCUGGCGAUAGCGACCUGCCAGUCAACAUCUUUGCUGGCUGAUACACCGCAAUCGCCAGCAAGCCGGCUCCCAC
rnacentral:misc_RNA from 1 species